rnacentral:rRNA from 1 species
UACGUAGGGUGCGAGCGUUGUCCGGAAUUAUUGGGCGUAAAGGGCUCGUAGGCGGUUUGUCGCGUCUGCUGUGAAAACCUAAGGCUCAACCUUGGGCUUGCAGUGGGUACGGGCAGACUAGAGUGCGGUAGGGGUGACUGGAAUUCCUGGUGUAGCGGUGGAAUGCGCAGAUAUCAGGAGGAACACCGAUGGCGAAGGCGGGUCUCUGGGCCGAUACUGACGCUGGAGGAGCGAAAGCGUGGGGAGCGAACAGG